CCUACGGGCGGCUGCAGUGGGGAAUAUUGCACAAUGGGCGAAAGCCUGAUGCAGCAACGCCGCGUGCGGGAUGACGGCCUUCGGGUUGUAAACCGCUUUCAGUAGGGACGAAGCGAAAGUGACGGUACCUACAGAAGAAGGACCGGCUAACUACGUGCCAGCAGCCGCGGUGAUACGUAGGGUCCAAGCGUUGUCCGGAAUUAUUGGGCGUAAAGGGCUUGUAGGCGGUCCGUCGCGUCAGAAGUGAAAACUCAGGGCUUAACCCUGAGCCUGCUUUUGAUACGGGCGGACUAGAGGAAUGCAGGGGAGAACGGAAUUCCUGGUGGAGCGGUGGAAUGCGCAGAUAUCAGGAGGAACACCGGUGGCGAAGGCGGUUCUCUGGGCAUUACCUGACGCUGAGAAGCGAAAGCGUGGGGAGCAAACAGGCUUAGAUACCCUAGUAGUC
rnacentral:rRNA from 1 species